rnacentral:rRNA from 1 species
UACGAAGGGGGCUAGCGUUGCUCGGAAUCACUGGGCGUAAAGGGUGCGUAGGUGGGCAGGUAAGUCCGUGGUGAAAUCUCUGAGCUUAACUCAGAAACUGCCGUGGAUACUAUUUGUCUUGAAUGUUGUGGAGGUGAGCGGAAUAUGUCAUGUAGCGGUGAAAUGCUUAGAUAUGACAUAGAACACCAAUUGCGAAGGCAGCUCACUACACAAUUAUUGACGCUGAGGCACGAAAGCGUGGGGAUCAAACAGG